rnacentral:rRNA from 1 species
AUUGAACGCUGGCGGCAUGCUUUACACAUGCAAGUCGGACGGCAGCACAGAGAAGCUUGCUUCUUGGGUGGCGAGUGGCGAACGGGUGAGUAAUAUAUCGGAACGUACCGAGUAAUGGGGGAUAACUAAUCGAAAGAUUAGCUAAUACCGCAUAUUCUCUGAGGAGGAAAGCAGGGGACCUUCGGGCCUUGCGUUAUUCGAGCGGCCGAUAUCUGAUUAGCUAGUUGGUGGGGUAAAGGCCUACCAAGGCGACGAUCAGUAGCGGGUCUGAGAGGAUGAUCCGCCACACUGGGACUGGGACACGGCCCAGACUCCUACGGGAGGCAGCAGUGGGGAAUUUUGGACAAUGGGCGCAAGCCUGAUCCAGCCAUGCCGCGUGUCUGAAGAAGGCCUUCGGGUUGUAAAGGACUUUUGUCAGGGAAGAAAAGGCUGUUGCUAAUAUCGACAGCUGAUGACGGUACCUGAAGAAUAAGCACCGGCUAACUACGUG